AGUGAACGCUGGCGGUAGGCCUAACACAUGCAAGUCGAACGGCAGCACAGUAAGAGCUUGCUCUUACGGGUGGCGAGUGGCGGACGGGUGAGGAAUACAUCGGAAUCUACUUUUUCGUGGGGGAUAACGUAGGGAAACUUACGCUAAUACCGCAUACGACCUACGGGUGAAAGCAGGGGAUCUUCGGACCUUGCGCGAUUGAAUGAGCCGAUGUCGGAUUAGCUAGUUGGCGGGGUAAAGGCCCACCAAGGCGACGAUCCGUAGCUGGUCUGAGAGGAUGAUCAGACACACUGGAACUGAGACACGGUCCAGACUCCUACGGGAGGCAGCAGUGGGGAAUAUUGGACAAUGGGCGCAAGCCUGAUCCAGCCAUGCCGCGUGGGUGAAGAAGGCCUUCGGGUUGUAAAGCCCUUUUGUUGGGAAAGAAAAGCAGCAGGUUAAUACCCCGCUGUUCUGACGGUACCCAAAGAAUAAGCACCGGCUAACUUCGUG
rnacentral:rRNA from 1 species